CUCCCGCUGCCUCCCGGUACCCUCGUCUCCCUUCAGCAGACAGCAGAGAAAGAAGACUAAGAUCGAAAAGGAAAGUAUGAAAAAAGUGGAAAUAAUUAAUGCCGACAGGAUCAUGCCAUUUGCAUCACCAGAGAAAGUUACAGUCACAAAAUGAGAAACAAGUCAAAAUUAAAAGAAACAUUAAGGUACUGAAAGCACCUGAAAAUUAAGCCAUUAGUUUUAAGAAAGGAACUGAAGAUGCAUGUUUAAAAUAUAUUAUACUUCGGAAUAAUUAUCACUCCAAAAGUGAGAGAUGCAAAGGAAUGAGUGAGAAAAUUGACACUAAGAAACCAAAAAGUGGACAUGUAAUGGGAAGUGAAAAGUCCCAAGUGAGAUGAGACUAAAAGUGUUGAUAAAGAGACAAGAAAAAUUACUUUUGUGCAAAGGUCAGGAAAAAGGUUAGAGAGGAAGAUUGUUUCAAGUAAAACAAAAACAAAAGGCAGAGAAGAAUAUUAUCUGGUCAUGAAGCAGAAUGAGAAUAACAGACCUUGCGAAACUUUGAAAUGUAUGAGCUACACAGAAAGCAAGGAAUCAACAUUAGUGCCAAAAUGUGAAUGCAAGAUUAGGAAUCAAAUUCCUAGCAUCAGUUAUUAGGGUUUCCAGAGAAAAUCAUAAGAUGAUGAGUUCUAGAGAAUCUUUUUCUUUUAGACUCAUUUUGCACCCUUUACCCCAGGUUGGAAUUAGCUAAAGGCAGUGGUAUGGGAACAUGUCUCAAGGGACUAAACUCUGCAUUUGUGUAACUGAAGAUUCACUUUUCUCAAGCUGAGUGCAGUAACUCUUGCAGGACUUCAGUGCUGCUUAGUUGUAUCAAGUUGUAGGAUAUCCUUGAGGAGGUACUGGAAACAUGAGCAACAACAUGCUUUCCUGUUUUCUUUUCCUUUGAAAUAUCAGAUACUGAUUGUUGCCAAAACAGGAUAUCAAACAAGUGAUUUUGACCUGACUCAGUAUGGCAAUUUCAAUAAAUCUAUAAAGGACAGAAAAGCAUAACAGUUCCCUCCCAGAUCUCCCAAAUCAUCUGUGUUUUGUUUUUCCCAGCAAAGCAAAGGACUUCAGAAGAAAAGUACAUUGAAAUCAAAAGUAGAACAUUGGGAAACAAGGUUUUAUAAAAAUAACAGUUACCACAUUUAGUUUCACUGUAACAAACACUAUUAACAAAGAGGACAUGCCAAAAAUACACUGUGAGUUUUGAGGAUGACAAGAUGUCUAUAAAUAAACAAAACCUUUUUGUACUUCUUUGAGUGGUCCUCACUACUUCCUUCCUGAGGUAAAUGAACAAGCCAAUCAUAUCCUGCGUGAAAACUGUGUUCUUCCAGAAAAGAAGGAAAAAGAUAUAAACCCCUCAGCAUUUGUUACAUCAUUUAGUUAAAUUAGUCAGAGGACAAGGACAAGUCACCCUCAAGAAAAAUAAGAUGUCAACAUUUAGAAUAAACUUCAUUCAACUUACUCUGAUCAUCCUUGAAUUUGGAAGAUUUAUGUUCUCCUUGAGUCUUUAUAAACAAAAAUAAAAAGAGGGCAUAAAUAUACAGAGACACAAAGUUCCUUAGCCUUAAGCGACUCCAGUUUUUGUCUGGUUUUGACAGUGCUAUCCCAGAAUAUACUUUCUAUUUUUACUACUGUUUUACUUCUAAAAUAACACCAAGUUUUGUCAAUAGAAGUGAGCCGCAACAAUUGGCACCUCAUACCAGGCAUUCCAUAGAGCCACAAUGAGCACCCAGCUCAACUGUCCUAGCAAAAUUCAUCUUUUCUUUCCAUUGUCAUUUAUUUUAUCGGAGGCAACUUCCAGAGUUUGUGCAUUUUUCAAGACAGUCCUUUUUAGGAAACCCGCAGGUGAAUAUACUUUGAUGUACUUCAGAAGUUGCCUUUCUGAAAGAUUGGCCAUAAUCCAGUGUUUAGUCUGUCAAAAUGCCACUGAGUGAAAAAACAAACAUACAUUUUGGCUUGCCAAAUCCCAUAGGGCAAGAACUUCUAUUCAUUAAUAUUUGUCUCUUUAAAGCUACACUAACAAAGCUUGUCUUAGUCAGGAUUCUGGAAGAAAAAGCAUGCAGACGUUUUAUGUCUCCUCCUUAGGCAAAAAAAAACUCAGCAGGAAUUCGGAGCAUAGCAACAAGAGAUUUUGAUGUUGGUUCACUGAAUAUUAGUUGCUUUGUCCAGCACAAUGUUGUUGGGAUAAAGGAAAGACUGAGUAAACUAAUACCUCUACAAGGGUGUUCUCCUUGAGUAUUUUAUAAACUCUUCUUUCAGAGUUGAAAACUUAUGAAUGGAAAAAUAGGUAGGAGAAGCUUUGGAGUGUCAAAAUCAGAAUCUUUGGAAUAUAAAAGGCAAAGAUGUACCAAGAUGAGACAAGAAAAACUUGAAGUGUGGACUGACUCAAGUUAUUUUAGUCACUUCAUGAAUUUCUUUCUCAACGCCCAAGUAGGGAAAGCAAAAAUCAGUUUUAACCUCUUAUUCACUGUCCCAGUACCAUGCACAAUAUGACUGGUCUGUUAUUCCUUAUCAGAGCAGGAAAAGAAGGGGACAAAAACAAAUUAAGCAAAAUGGUAUUUGAUGUACCUACCAGAAGAAAAUUUUGCAGAAAAAUCUGAGAAUUUAUUUUCUAGAACAGUUUACUACCUUUCUUGUUAGCAACAUUUUAAAAUAAUUAAUAUUAGCAUCUGACUACAAUGUGAAUUUACAUAAAGCCCAUGGCAUUACAGCACAAAACACAAAUACAGCAGAAAAAUAAGGAAGACUUAUUGCUUACUUGAAAGAUUUAUGAUACAGGAUGCUAUUUGGAAGUGCUAUCUAUUUCAUUUUGAUACACCAAAGAGCAUAUGCAUUUUUGAAAUAAUAAUCUUAAAUGUUCAAACCUCUAAAACAAAAACCUGAGGCUACUUGAUUGUAAAAACUGUACAGUCAGAUAGUUUUGACCUAAUUGUAGUGGCUCAUGAGAUUGCCCCCCUUUCAUCCCCCCCAAGGCGAGAGUGCAAAAAUGAGAGAGAUCGAAAUGACUGCUAAUGCUUUUGCACACAUAAAUACAUAAUUCCUCAAGAUUCCACCACCAAUUCAUUAUUUUACCAGCAAAAUGGCACAUUUUAGGAUUGAGACUAAAAGACAGCCAAAUGCUUUCUCACCAUGUACUUCUGGAAAAACACACUUGUGUCCUCCAGCACCACUCAAAACUCUUUGUAUUUAUAACAUUCUGCUGCCUGCAUAAAUAACUAUAUAAUUCUCUCCCAUGAUGUCCCUUCUAAAUUUUACUAUACUUGUGUUUUCAGGAAGUUCUUGUUGUUUAUUUAUUGUUUGGUUUUGCUUUCUAAAUCAGAUUGGUAGAUCAUGUUACAAUACUGAUACAAAUACUGCACAGGUCUAUACAGCCUCAUAGAGUUUCUACAUGUUUUUGUCAGUGUAAUAACAAAACAACCCAUACUUGGGGUUUCUAACACUGCAAGCAGUAACUUAUAUACAAAUUACUAAAUAACAUCAUUUGUUUUCUCGUUGCAUAUUGUCCAGACACAGCCAUCAGAAUUUCUAGUAAAGUCUGUGUUCAAAGAUGAGAUACAAGCACAAGAACAUCCUUUAUUUACCAAAGUUAUUGAUACAUGGCCAUCAGUCCAUUCUACUUAUAAGGUUCACUUUAGACUUGUUUUUUUAGAAACAUGUUGUUACAAUUCCAUAUAGACACAUAACUCAAGAUUUAAAAUUUAAGAAACCUGAAAUAACUCAGAGACUUCCCCAUCCACACUGAGUCAAUCUUGCAUCCUCUAAUAUACUGGAGACCUGUUUAUCAAUUUAUGCUCCCUAUUCAAAUAAAAAGGACUUAAGCAUGCAGACCCACUUCUAACAGCUAAGAUACAAGCAUUUAAUUGCUGUAUUCAGGCUUUGCAAGUAUAAGAUAUACUGUACUAUAGGAAGACUGCUCAGACUUCACUCUUGCUCCUCUUUUUUGACCUUUGUUACCAAGUCUGCACUCAUCUGCUUUGUAAGUAUUGACUUCAGAUUUCAAAUCAAAGAAAGUUUUGGCAGUGCCUGUGAGUUCAGCAUAUUCUUUAUGUAGACAUACUUCUAUAGCUACCGAGGUACUUUGGGGAAUAAUAUCCACUAUUAUAAAUCAUUAGUGUCGUUACUCAGAGUUAGAUGACCUACCCCACUCUCCAUUGAAAGUAAGUAACUCAUUAGAUGAAGGAAGAGCACAGAAGAGGAAUGAUGCUUCUGGAAAAAUUAAAUUUCUAUAUUCAGUUUCGUUUCCAUUUAUCCAAGCCAUGCGAGCAUAGAAGUCAUGACCUCCGGGGGCAGAGGUGAAUGCCUCAGUAUUUUAGGCCUCUCUGCAAACUCUGAAUUAUUCAUUAGCUACAGGCUCAUUUUGUGUAUUAUUAAUGAAAUUUUGCUACAGAGAGUAAUGCCAAAGAGAGACAGAUCUUCCAGUGCAGCUCAUAGUACAUCUUUAGGCUGGGUAGCAAAAAAAAACGACCCUUGCCAGUACUAAAGACCAAGGACACAUGUCAUAAAUUUGAGUCCCAGUCUCCAUCCCUAUAUGAAAAAAUAUGUUCUUCCCCAUUUCUCUCCACCUGCAAGCACCACAAAAGAUGCCCCCAAAAUCUCAUCAGUAAAAGAACUCCAUAAAAGGCAAGUAAUAAUUGUUUUUCUAGCUUUGUACCAUUCUACCAGAAGUCACAGAGUCAAACCCAUGUGAUUUUUCAUAUGUCUCAUCUCAGGACAGUUUGAGUGUUGCACUCAGACUCAACCAAUACUGGUUAUGCUAUACCUUACUUAUGGCUCAUAGUUUGGUUUUUUUUUUUCUUUUAAUAUAUAUUUUUAAGAAGUUUCUUUAUCCUUGAUCAAGAGUUACUAGAACAAAACCAUCUCUAGGAACAUGUAGGAGAAGUUAUGUGAGUAUGAUUUGUCUUACAGUCAUAAAACAAAGACUAAGAGAGAAAGAUCAUUAUUGUAGGUUGAAUGUUUUCAGUCAUUUCCAGACCAACAAGAGAUGAAGUAGAAUAGCAUAUAUCAGAGAUAAUAAGCUUUAAAUCUGCACAAAUAUUUACAUCUGCAAUAUUCAUAUGAGUUUUGCUGCCUCUGAGAAUUCUGAAUAGCAAAUACACCAGGUCCUGGAGAAAACUCUACUCUGGCCAAUACAGCUGAGAAAUGGUUCUACAUUUCUAUACUGUGAACAGCCUGUUUUCCACUGGUGAAGACAAACUGCUGUGGCUGUGACACUGGCAUUCAUGCUAUACAUUGUAUUAAAAAUUCUUCCUUUAAGUGGCUUAGAAAUCAAAAUCAGCUUGAUUUUCUUAAAGAUUGCUUGGCACCUCUAAAAACUUACCAAUCCCACGUUUAGACAUACCAAUCUGCUAUGUCUAAAGUAUCACUGCUCCAUUCAAACUUUCACCCAGAGUCCAGGUAAUCCAAGUGUUAUGGAAGCCAACACCGGUCACUGAUCUGUUCCUGGGACAUUCAUCGACCAACCUUAGCCAUGCAUCUCAUCUCUUAAACCGAUAUCUCAAUAUUAUUCUGCAAGUGAUAAAUCCCUAAAGAUUUCAGUAAUGGUCCACAAAGAAAAAAAUUCUGCACUCUCUACGCAGAAUAUUAACUUACCAACGCUGCAGUUCUUAUUCUAGUAUUAUUUCUCUGCAGUGCAUUUUGACAUAUGUGCAGAUGCCCAAACAAUACGCCUCAGGGAUUGGUACUUGCAUCAGAAUUGAUAACGGAGAUACAGAAAGUUAAUCUUAUUUAUAAUUAUAUUGUUUCUCCUUUUAAAAGAGAUAUGUAGGAAAGUAACAUCUACAUCUUAUUGCAAUGGGCUUGGGUUAAAGCAGGUGCAAAAUAAAUGUAUGGUUAAUA